rnacentral:rRNA from 1 species
GCAUAACGCGAAGAACCUUACCAGGUCUUGACAUCCCAUUGACCGGUCCUUAACCGGGCCUUCCCUUCGGGGCAAUGGAGACAGGUGGUGCAUGGUUGUCGUCAGCUCGUGUCGUGAGAUGUUGGGUUAAGUCCCGCAACGAGCGCAACCCCUAUCCUUAGUAGCCAGCAGUCCGGCUGGGCACUCUAGGGAGACUGCCAGGGAUAACCUGGAGGAAGGCGGGGAUGACGUCAAAUCAUCAUGCCCCUUAUGAUCUGGGCUACACACGUGCUACAAUGGUGGCUACAAAGAGAAGCAAACUCGCGAGGGGGAGCAAAUCUCAGAAAGGCCAUCCCAGUUCGGAUUGUAGUCUGCAACUCGACUACAUGAAGCUGGAAUCGCUAGUAAUCGCGAAUCAGAAUGUCGCGGUGAAUACGUUCCCGGGUCUUGUACACACCG